GGCAGAUCCAUUUUCUGCCACCGAAUACAUUAGCAUGGGAUAAUGGAAUAGGACCCUGUCCUCCUAUUUUCAGUUGGUUUUGGCAGCGCGAGGACUAGGGUAAUGAUUAAUAGGGAUAGUUGGGGGCAUUAAUAUUUAAUUGUCAGAGGUGAAAUUCUUGGAUUUAUGAAAGAUUAACUUCUGCGAAAGCAUCUGCCAAGGAUGUUUUCAUUAAUCAAGAACGAAAGUUAGGGGAUCGAAGACGAUCAGAUACCGUCGUAGUCUUAACCAUAAACGAUGCCGACCAGCGAUUAGGAGACGUUGAAUACAAAACACCACCAUCGGUGCGGUCAUCCUUGGCGUUGGUCUUCAAAAGCCAGCGCGGGGGUGGCUUAGCCCGGUGGCACCGGUGAAUGACUCCCCUAGCAGCUUGUGAGAA
rnacentral:rRNA from 1 species